ensembl:lncRNA
GGAAAAUUUCAUGCUUGCAUCACAAACCGAAGUAUUCUGGGUGUAUUUUGCAGUUAUCUGCUCCACUAUCUGACUCAGUGGUUCAUCAAAACCUCUGGGGAUGUCCUGUGGAUUCUGUGGAUCCUGUGGGUUGCAGGGUGGGUCCUACCUAGACCAGGCUGAUCCUGGACCAUCCCACAGAUGCUCAAUCAGAUCUGGAUGUGGGGAGUGUGGAACCCAGAUGUUCAGAGGGAGAUGAUGCCACAUCUGGUCCAGCCGAUGGAAGGUCUUGAAGUUCUCUGACUGGCCUCGACUGAAGAUGGUCGUCUCACUGGAUUUAAGGUUCAGAUGCUCAGUAACAAACUCCACCAAUGUGCCAACAGGGAAGCUUUAGGUUUAUUAAAUGUUGCUUUGAAGGUUUCACUGUUUUUCUUUGUGAAUGCAAUGCGCUCCAACUGAAACUUGAAUUAGAACUUAGAAGUAAAUCCUUCCAUCUGAAAGGAUUUAGUUGCAUUAAUAACCUCAUAACAUUCUAAUUUUUAUUCCAGUCUUGGCUGGAAAUAGAAUCUCUGUAUUGAUUCAGGUAAAAACUGAACUUCACAGCAUGUUGGAGCAAAACAACCAGAUGAAAACUGUGAUGGUGUUGGAUUGUCAGACCGUAAUGUUGCAGCUCAAAGCAGCUUUUCUAGCUCAGUUCAUUCUGACAUUCAGCUAUGAAUCAACACAGCAGAUGGUGAUCCAUACUGUGGAAGUCUCACAUCUCCUGAUUUAAUGGAGCUGCUUUGCACUUUUUACACUGUUUAUUCACCAACACUUUAUUUAAUAAAAGUCCCAUCUAGUUUUUAUGAGGAAUGUGAUGUUUUAAUUUCUCUGUGAAUAACUGCAGUCUAAUGCAACAGCUGGAAUUGUAACAUCUGUCCUGAUAUUGAUCAUGAAGUAUUGAUCAGAAUACUUAUGGU